rnacentral:ncRNA from 1 species
UUGAGCCGGUUGCUUGGAAAUCGAGCACGGCCGGUUCUUAGGGGGCGGGGACGCAGCAAUGCGUCCCCGCUACCCGAC